UUUAGACAUUUGGCAUCACGUAUAUUGAAGGUGACUGUUUUUUUCUUUCAUUUUCCCCUUAGAUCUCUACAUAUUAAAUAUGUUUGUUUUUGUGUAUGUGCAAACAAAUGCUGACAGCUAACCAUAGUAUCUGAGAUCAUGGAAUUACUACUAGACCUAUGCAGAACUAACUGUGUGAAAAUGUUGAAGAUAUAUUUGAAAACCAUUUGACCUUUUUCUGCAACAGUUCUGAAAUACUCUUGCAAUCCUAAAUAUACUGCAGUGACACAAAGAUUUCGGAUAACAGGCAAUUGUGUAGUUGCCCCAGCAUAAAUCCUUGUGAAGAGAAAGCCUCUGUCCUCUUUGUGGCCAACCUUUAAGUACUGGAAUAAAGUGAUGAGCUUCCCCCGGACCUCCUCUUCUCCAGGGUGAAAAGACCUAACUCCUUCAGUCUGUUUUCACAGAGCAGGUUCUGUGGUAUUUUGAUCAUCCUCGUGGCCCUUCUUUGGACCCUCUCCAGUCUGUCUGUCUGUUUUGAAUUGUGGGGACCAGAACUGGACUCAGUAGUCCAGGUGCUGCCUGACAAGCACUGAGUAGUGUGGGAUGAUCACGUAUCUAUCUCUACCUGUAACACCUCUGCAGGUGCAGCCCAGCAUCCAAUUUGCCUUUGUUGCUGCAGCAGUGCAAUGCUGACUUGUGUUCAUCUUGCUGCCCACCAGGAUCCCCAGGUCCCUUUCAGCAAGGCCACACAGCUGUUAGCCUGUACUGGGACUUUUGGUUGUGUCAUCCCAGGUGAAGGAAGACCUUGCAGUUGUCUUUGUUCAGCUUCAGGCAGUUCUUGGUUGCCCACUUGUGGUUUAACCCAGAAGGCAGCUAAGCACCACACAGCUGUUCAUUCACUCACUCUCCUGCACCCAUAGUGGGAUGGGGGAGAGAAUUGGUGACAAAAAAGGGUAAAAAUUUGUGGGUUGAGAUAAAGACAGUUUAAUAAGACAGAAAAGGAAGGGAGAAUAAUAAUGAUAAAAGAAAAUAUAAAGCAAGUUAUGUACAAUGCUGCAAUUGCUCACCACCUGCUGACCAGUAGCCAGCCACAGGCCGAGCAGUGGUCCUCCCUACCCAGCCAACUCUCCCAGUUUCAUUAUUCAGCAUGACACCACAUAGCACGGGACAUCUACUGCCUACUGCAGCUGCCAGCCUGCAGAGAUAAUUCCUUCUAGCAGAAUAGCUCUAGAUUAUUAUAGGGAAAUCAAAUUUGCAUGAAAGCAUUUUCUCUCUCCCCUUUUUUCCCUUGUCAAAGUUACCAAACAUUCACGAUCAGUUACUUUUUUACACCCCCAGCCUCCUCGCUGGCAGUGCAGCACCAGAAGCUGAAAGGUCCUCAGCUUAGUGCAAGCACUGCUCUGCAACAACUGUAACAUCAGUGUGUUAUCAGCAUUAUUCUCAUCUUAAAUCCAGAACGCAGCACAAUACCAGCUACUAUGAUAAAAAUUAACUCUAUCCCAGCUGAAACCAGGGCACCACUCUUCGAGCUCAUCUGGGUCGAGAUGUAAGAUGGCGUCUCCCUUUUGAUGUGUUCACCUCACCACUCAGCUUGGUGUUGUCAGCCGAUUAAUAUGUAUUGGUAAUCCAAGAAGCUUCUCAGCCCAGUAGCUUUUAUAACACUGAGAAUACCUUAACAAAGGUUCAAAAGAUAACUAGCAAUAAUUGGCAAUGUGCUAUACCGUUCAAUGAUAACAAUGUAAUGGAUGAACAGUUGGCUGGCAGGUUCUAGUAAAUGGGGUUACAUUAGGCUGGUGGCCAGUCACUAGUGGGGUUCCCCAGGAACCUCCAUUUUAGGGCCAACUCUCUUCCAUAUUCUCAUAAAUUACUUGGAUGCAGGACUCAAAUGCACACUAGGUGAGUUUGCAAACGACACUAAAUCAGGAGGAUCUGUUGACUCUAUUGAGGGCAGAAAGGCCUUGCAGAGAAAUCUUGACGAAUUAGAAAGCUGAGCAAUAACCAGUAAUAUGAAGUGUAACAAGAACAAGGGCCAGAUUCUUGGGCCAGCCAACCCUGUCUGUACAUACAGACUGGUGGAUGAGGAGCUGGAGAGCAGCCCCAAGGAAAGGAAUCUGGGGUUCUGGUUGACAGCAAGUUGACCAUGAGCCAGCAGCUUGCCCUGGCAGCCAGGAGGCCGCUGUACCCUGGGGUGCAUCAGGCCCAGCACUGCCAGCGGGUCGGGGGAAGGGGCUGUCCUGUUCUGCUCUGCGCUGCUGCAGCCUCACCUCAAGCACUGAGUGCAGUUUUGGGCACCACAUAAAACUAUUAGAGAGUGUCCAAAGUAGGGCUAUGAAGUUGGAGAAGAGUCCAGAGGGCAAGACAUAUGAGGAGUGCCUGAGGUCCCUUGGUUUGUUAAACCUAGAGCAGAGCAGACUAAGGGGAGGCCUCAUGGCAGUGUUAGGAAAAGGUUCUUCACCCAGAGUGGUCAGGCACUGGGACAGGCUCCCCAGGGCAGUGGUCGGGGCACCAAGCUGCCGGAGUUCAAGAAGUGUUUGGAUAGUGCUCUCAGACACAGGGUCUGAUUUUUGGGUGGUGCUGUGUGGAGCCAAGAGUUGGACUUGGUGAUCCUUGUGGGUCCCUUCCAACUUCUGUGAUUCUGUGAACAACAAGAAAGUAUUGUUAGAUAACCUCCAAUCUGAGAAAUUUCUCCCUUGUUUAUAAAACCCUUAAAAUGGUAUGUUAAUGUUAUCCUCAUCCAGAAUGGAAAUAAUGAACGUGUAAGAAAGCAGUGCCAGUUACAGAAGAGAUGGGAAGAACCACAAAAGUGAGGCAUGUCUGCAAUUUCCUUGUGAUUGUUUUGAGUUGCCGUUUGAGCAAACCAGUGUUAUUUGUAAUUAAGAAAGGAUUUUGUAGAAUGUGAGUAAACUACUCUAUGAACAG